rnacentral:rRNA from 1 species
UGUAGUCUGCAACUCGACUACAUGAAGCUGGAAUCGCUAGUAAUCGCAGAUCAGAAUGCUGCGGUGAAUACGUUCCCGGGUCUUGUACACACCGCCCGUCACACCAUGGGAGUCGGAUAUGCCCGAAGCCAGUGACCCAACCGUAAGGAGGGAGCUGUCGAAGGUGGAGCCGAUAACUGGGGUGAAGUCGUAACAAGGUAGC